AUUGAACGCUGGCGGCAGGCUUAACACAUGCAAGUCGAGCGAGCGGCGGACGGGUGAGUAAUGUCUGGGAAACUGCCUGAUGGAGGGGGAUAACUACUGGAAACGGUAGCUAAUACCGCAUACCAUCAGAUGUGCCCAGAUGGGAUUAGCUAGUAGGUGGGGUAAUGGCCCACCUAGGCGACGAUCCCGAGCUGGUCUGAGAGGAUGACCAUCGAAACUGGAGCGGAGACGCGGACCAGACGCCUACGGAUGGCAGCAGUGGGGAAUAUUGCACAAUGGGCGAAAGCCUGAUGCAGCCAUGCCGCGUGUGUGAAGAAGGCCUUUGGUUUGUAAAGCACUUUCAGCGAGGAGGCGUUACUCGCAGAAGAAGCACCGGCUAACUCCGUGCCAGCAGCCGCGGUAAUAC
rnacentral:rRNA from 1 species